rnacentral:lncRNA from 1 species
UUAUUAGACAGUAGUUACCAUAUUUGUAUAGGUAGCCUUGUUUGUUUAUUUUUCUUUUUUUCAUUUGGAUCCUCUUGAAAACGAGAUGGUGCAUCUGAAGAGAUUUCAUCCUGCAAAAUCUCAAAUAAAUAAAUAAAAUUUGUCUUGAACGCAAGGAAGAUGGAGAUUUCCGAGGUGUUUUGAACGUGAUAUGAAUGGACAACGAGCAAUGACAACAUGCUUAUGGAAUUCUGCCAACAACACCAGCGACAAACACUUUACCAGCGGUCUGAAAAGAGGUAGCUGGGUCAGAAGUUCAUUGACUCUUUCCCACGCUAAAUACAAAAUGUGUAGAUAACAUUAGCUAGCUCUGAAACGAGUAAUUUGGAGACCUUAUAUUUUCUUUUGAGAACUUAUCAUUCAGUGAGUGUAAACUAGCUGCAUACAUUAGCUAGCUAGGAGCUAUCUAGUAGCUAACUAGUUGAGCUAACGUUUGAGUGUUUCUACUGCAUGCGCACAAUACUAUUCAGACAGAGAAGAAGCACUUAAGAAAAUAAGCACUUUUUUUCUCAAUGUGCCAUCUCAGGUCUGUACUAUGUAUAAGCAUAUGUAUAUCUUUGUAAUCUGAAGAUGACAUGUUCAUCAUACCCUCCCUUUGCAACUCUAAUUAUGACUUGGUGAAAACUUAGAUGUUUUUCCUAUUAAAAAUGAAUGGACAGUGAAAUAGUAUGUGAUCUGUCAUUUCUAUUGCUUUUUCUGAGAGGUAUUUAAAAUACUUUCAAAUAUUAUAUUUUUUUCCCUGAGACCUGUAUGCUAUUAGCGGAUCAACUAAUCGAAAUCAAGUAAUCGACUAACUAUAGAUAGAUAGAUAGAUAGAUAGAUAGAUA